GAGGGAGCCGGUUCCGCGGGCCGGCGAAGGGCGUGUAGGUCAGGCAGGCGCCCGGCCCGGGCAAGGCGGGGAGUGGUAAUUGAUGGCUAAGAGAUGGGGUCUGGCUGUGUUGCCUAGGCUUGUCUGGAACUCCUGGCUUCAAGUGAUCCUCCCACCUCAGCCUCCCAAGUCACUAGGAUUACAGGCGUAAACCCCUGCACCUGGUCAACUGCAACAAAUUAAAUGCAGAAGCAAAUAUGAAAAUCUGUCUUCUGUAAAACCGGAUGUUAAGAAAUUUG
rnacentral:lncRNA from 10 species